rnacentral:rRNA from 1 species
AUUGAACGCUGGCGGCAGGCCUAACACAUGCAAGUCGAACGAGUGGCGGACGGGUGAGUAAUGUCUGUGAAAUUGCCCGAUGGAGGGGGAUAACUACUGGAAACGGUAGCUAAUACCGCAAAACGUCAGAAGUGCCCAGAAGGGAUUCGCUAGUUGGUGGGGUAACGGCUCACCAAGGCGACGAUCCAUAGCGGGUCUGAGAGGAUGACCAGCAACACUGCAACGAGGACGCGGUCUAGACUCCUACGGGAGGCACCAGUGGGAAAUAUUGCACAAUGGGCGCAAGCCUAAUGCAGCCAAUCCGCGUGUAUGAAGCGGGCCAUCGGGUUGUAAAGUACUUUCAGCGGGGAGGCGUUACCCGCAGAAGAAGCACCGGCUAACUCCGUGCCAGCAGCCGCGGUAAUAC